rnacentral:rRNA from 1 species
AACGAACGCUGGCGGCGUGCCUAACACAUGCAAGUCGAGCGCGAAUAGGGGCAACCCUUAGUAGAGCGGCGCACGGGUGCGUAACACGUGGGUAAUCUGCCUCUCAGUCUGGGAUAACUACCCGAAAGGGUAGCUAAUACCGGUUAAGCUCCCGGGGCCCUUGGGCCUUGAGAGAAAAGGUGGCCUCUGCAUGCAAGCUACCGCUGAGAGAUGAGCCCGCGGCCCAUCAGCUAGUUGGUGAGGUAAUGGCUCACCAAGGCGACGACGGGUAGCUGGUCUGAGAGGACGAUCAGCCACACUGGAACUGAGACACGGUCCAGACUCCUACGGGAGGCAGCAGUGGGGAAUUUUGCGCAAUGGGCGAAAGCCUGACGCAGCAACGCCGCGUGUGUGAUGAAGGUCUUCGGAUUGUAAAGCACUUUCGACCGGGACGAAACCCCGUUGGCUAACAUCCAGCGGUUUGACGGUACCGGGAGAAGAAGCACCGGCUAACUCUGUGCCAGCCGCCGCCGUAACAC